rnacentral:rRNA from 1 species
CAGCCAGUUGAUCUGGCCCUUCGGUGUAAUCAGAUUCUUUUUCCCAUUAGGUUUCUGCAGGGCCGUUGUUCCAAACUAAACUGGGUUUCUUUCCGCAUUCCUUCCUUGCCCGCUUUAUAACUUUGGGAGAGUCGACCACCCCCCAAUCAACCCUUGACCAGGCUAACGUUUCAUGUGUUAUGUACUUGUUACAGCUCCCUCGAUGCUUCGAUUGGCUGACCGGCGAGUAACGUCUUGAAUUACCUGAUGGAGUUAUAGUAUUUGAAAAGAAAGUUAAUUACGCAACGUUCAACUUCUAAAAGGUGGCCUUUCGGGCUUCUGCCCUCGCAUCCCGCCUAUGGGACCAUCUCGCAGGGGCGCUCCCCCUCCCCCUGGCGACGCUCCCUAGCUGGUCUGAGACGAUGACCAGCCACACUGGAACUGAGACACGGUCCAGACUCCUACGGGAGGCAGCAGUGGGUAAUAUUGCACAAUGGGCUCUAUCAUUCUCAGCCACUCGCCGUUGAAGAAGGCGUCUGUCAAUUCACCCCUUCCGCGGCGCCUU